rnacentral:lncRNA from 1 species
UAUCGUAGUAAUGACUUGAAGAAAAUGCUGGCUGCCCUUCGACUGUCAUUUUUCUACAACUUGCUGUGACUUGGACAGGAUGCUGACUUCCAUCCUGCUCUCUUCACCCAAGUGACGAUGCCACCUUAUUGAACCUUUGAAACCUGACUUGGAAAGCCAAAUCAAAAACGGCCUUCAAAGGAGGUGGAUAAUGAAAGAAAGAGCCUCAAAUCCAAGCCAGCACGAUCAGUGAACAUCUGAGGGUAGAGUGUAAAAUAGAGAACAUUCUAAGAUCUCACUUUGUGAAAAGCAGACAGCUCAUCAUUACAUCAGCCCAGUAGUCCACUAAUGCAUCAUGCAUGUGAGAGCAGCCAGUCUGAGGACUAUGAGUUUCUCCAAGGAAGAUCAAGGAUAAGGAUGUGCUGAAAGGAAGAAAUGGUGACUUGUUUCCAGCAUAAUUUUACUGUACGCUUUCUUAAAUAAGAGCAUAAGUCCGAUUGGGCUCAAAAUGUUAAGACCAUCCCUCCAAAAGACAAAUGAAUUGUCAAUGUUCCUUUGUGAAUAUUCAUUCGGUAAAAUUAUUUCUACAUUUAUGUACAUUUUUAUUUACACAAUUUACCACUACAGAAUCAUUUCAUAAUACGUGUUCUGAAUCAAAAGUAAAUCAAUAAAAUUUAGUGUCUCCCUUCAAGGACAUCAUAGUGUACAACAAAGAGAAA